rnacentral:rRNA from 1 species
CCGUCAACCUCCGGAAGUUAGCAUUUGUAAACUAGGCAGACUAGAGUACUGUAGAGGGGGGGUAGGAAGUUUCUAGGUGUAGCGGUGAAAUAGCGUAGAGAUCUGAAGGAAUACCGGUGGCGAAGGCGGCCCCCCUCGGACAGAUACUGACACUCAGAUGCGAAAGCGUGGGGAGCAAACAGGAUUAGAUACCCCUGGUAG